rnacentral:lncRNA from 1 species
AGAGUCUGUCCCCUUCUUUCUUACAGACUCCCUUUAGAUACAGAAAGGCCGCUAUCAGGUCUCCCUGGAACCUUCUCUUCUCCAGGCUGAACAGCCCCAGAUCUCUCAGCUUGUCCAAAAAUAUAACUUUGGACCUUAGGUUCUGGAUUGGUCUGGAACAAUAUUGAAUGCAUGAAGGUCAACAUAAUUUGAAGUGCUGAGAAACUAUGGAGUAAAAUCUAUCUUACUUCACCUGACAGCUGUUGAGAGACAUGGUAUGCUGGAUGGAAUAUAGCCUGACUGCAUAUUAGUUCCUGUUACUGCAAUUCUGAAUUGAAAAGAUAAGGUAAAUAAGAUACUAGAUUUCUCAACAACAAACUUUAUAUAAUGUUACACAUUUUGAUAUAUUUUCCAUCCAUUCAUAUAAGGUUUUUUUCUGUUGUUGUUG